GGGGUCGUAGCUCAGUUUGGUUAGAGCGCCUGCCUGUCACGCAGGAGGUCGCGAGUUCGAGUCUCGUCGGCCCCGCAA
rnacentral:tRNA from 1 species